rnacentral:rRNA from 1 species
UCCACGCCGUAAACGAUGGAUACUAGGUGUUGGAGGGUUUCGACCCCUUCAGUGCCGUCGCUAACGCAUUAAGUAUCCCGCCUGGGGAGUACGGUCGCAAGAUUAAAACUCAAAGGAAUAGACGGGGACCCACACAAGCGGUGGAGCACCUGGCUUAAUUCGAUAAUGAGCGAGGAACCUUACCUGGACUUGACAUCCUGAGAAUUUUCUAGAAAUAGAAAAGUGCCUUAUGG